GACGAACGCUGGCGGCGUGCUUAACACAUGCAAGUCGAACGGUAAGGCCCUUCGGGGUACACGAGUGGCGAACGGGUGAGUAACACGUGGGUGAUCUGCCCUGCACUUCGGGAUAAGCCUGGGAAACUGGGUCUAAUACCGGAUAGGACCCUGGGAUGCAUGUCCUGGGGUGGAAAGCUUUUGCGGUGUGGGAUGGGCCCGCGGCCUAUCAGCUUGUUGGCGGGGCGAUGGCCUACCAAGGCGACGACGGGUAGCCGGCCUGAGAGGGUGACCGGCCACACUGGGACUGAGAUACGGCCCAGACUCCUACGGGAGGCAGCAGUGGGGAAUAUUGCACAAUGGGCGCAAGCCUGAUGCAGCGACGCCGCGUGAGGGAUGACGGCCUUCGGGUUGUAAACCUCUUUCAGCACCGACGAAGCGCAAGUGACGGUAGGUGCAGAAGAAGGACCGGCCAACUACGUGCCAGCCGCCGCGGUAA
rnacentral:rRNA from 1 species